UACGAAGGGGGGCUAGCGUUGCUCGGAAUCACUGGGCGUAAAGGGCUCGUAGGUGGCCAACUAAGUCGGACGUGAAAUCCCUCGGCUUAACCGGGGAACUGCGUCCGAUACUGGUUGGCUUGAGUGUGGGAGAGGUGAGUGGAAAUUUUCCGGUGUAGCGGUGAAAAAUGCGUAGAUAUCGGAAAGGAAACACCUGUGGCGAAAAAGCGGCUCACUUGG
rnacentral:rRNA from 1 species